rnacentral:rRNA from 1 species
AACGAACGCUGGCGGCAGGCUUAACACAUGCAAGUCGAGCGCCCCGCAAGGGGAGCGGCAGACGGGUGAGUAACGCGUGGGAACAUACCCUUUCCUGCGGAAUAGCUCUGGGAAACUGGAACUAAUACCGCAUACGCCCUACGGGGGAAAGAUUUAUCGGGGAAGGAUUGGCCCGCGUUGGAUUAGCUAGUUGGUGGGGUAAAGGCCUACCAAGGCGACGAUCCAUAGCUGGUCUGAGAGGAUGAUCAGCCACAUUGGGACUGAGACACGGCCCAAACUCCUACGGGAGGCAGCAGUGGGGAAUAUUGGACAAUGGGCGCAAGCCUGAUCCAGCCAUGCCGCGUGAGUGAUGAAGGCCUUAGGGUUGUAAAGCUCUUUCACCGAUGAAGAUAAUGACGGUAGUCGGAGAAGAAGCCCCGGCUAACUUCGUGCCAGCCGCCGCCGUAAGAC